UACGUAGGGUGCAAGCGUUGUUCGGAUUUACUGGGCGUAAAGGGCGCGUAGGCGGUCGUGACAAGUCACUUGUGAAAUCUCCGGGCUUAACUCGGAACGGUCAAGUGAUACUGUCGGACUAGAGUACAGAAGGGGCAACUGGAAUUCUCGGUGUAGCGGUGAAAUGCGUAGAUAUCGAGAGGAACACCUGCGGCGAAGGCGGGUUGCUGGGCUGAUACUGACGCUGAGGCGCGAAAGCCAGGGGAGCGAACGGG
rnacentral:rRNA from 1 species